rnacentral:misc_RNA from 1 species
AUAUGGAAAUGGGCUAUUUUUUAGCUUUUGUYUUUGUUUCCAUUAUUCAGAUUAUGCCGGGGAAGGUUUUCCGGUUUAUCCCGGAGGGCUUGUAGCUCAGUUGGUUAGAGCGCGCGCUUGAUAAGCGUGAGGUCGGAGGUUCAAGUCCUCCCAGGCCCACCAAUUCAAUUAGGUAGUGAUAAAGCGCUUAUUGUAAGAUGCAGAUAACAUGUGCGAUUUAUCAAAUAUGCUGAGACGAUUUUAUCUCAGAUUGAAAAUUAUGCUUUUUGUUUUUC